rnacentral:rRNA from 1 species
UACAGAGGUGGCAAGCGUUGUUCGGAAUUACUGGGCGUAAAGGGCGCGUAGGCGGCCUUCUAAGUCAGACGUGAAAUCCCCCGGCUUAACCUGGGAACUGCGUCUGAUACUGGAGGGCUUGAGUGCGGGAGAGGGAUGUGGAAUUCCAGGUGUAGCGGUGAAAUGCGUAGAUAUCUGGAGGAACACCAGCGGCGAAGGCGGCAUCCUGGACUGGUCCUGACACUCAUGAGCGAAAGCGUGGGGAGCGAUCCGG